GCUUUUUUCUUUUUUUUUUUUUUUCGGAGUCGAUAUCGAGAAGUUGCAAGAGCUCGUUUUGGCUGAACUGGCGUUCUCUUUUUCUCUCUUAUUUCUCCUCGCAAUUUUCAGUGAUUUUCUUUUAUUAAUUCACAUCGCCAGUUUAAUCGACAACGAGAGAGUUAAUUCACGUCUGGUUCGAUGAACUUCUGUCAAUCGAACGCUGUCAUCUGAAUACUCGGAGUGCGAAGUCCUGGUUUUGCGGAAUUUCACGGGCUGAGACUCGCAGAGGACCAGAGGAGUUUAUUGAAUAAAUCAAGGUCAAGCGAAUGAAAGAGCGACGAGGAGGGCCGAGGCAUCGGCCGGGAUUCUGUCGUGGCGCAGAAAAAUCAAAUUAAACAGCCGCUUUUAAGUCGAAUUAAAACGAAUGCGCUUAAUUAAAGCGGCCUGUGCCGCUCAACUAAAGGAGUUUUAUUGACGGCGACCGAGUCUCCUUUGUCGGUACCACCGUGUACCCUUUCAUUAUUACGUUAAAAGAUGCCCGCGACUUUUUGGUUUUGCAGCAAAUAACGCUCUAUUUUUCUCUCCGUUAAAGACAGCCCGGUUUUUUUCCGAUUUUUCAAUCCGACUUCUCUGUUUUUCAAUGUUUCCUUUCUUUGUGACUUCGAGACGCGUUUCAGGAUCCAGCUUCUUCGUAGCCGUAUUUUUUGCUCCUUUCAUUCUUACGGCUACGUGAAUCGGAGAUUUUUUGGAGGCGGCAGCAUGGUGAAAAAGAAACGAGCGUGUGAAAUUAAUUUACUGUCCUUAUUGCUUCUCUUUGUUAAUUGGAUUAGAGUGAAAAAAGCGAUAGCCCUUUAACAUAUUUGUUGGCGUUAGUUUUAUGGAAGGUCUGCGUAGUUUUAUGGAAAUUCAUAUUUUCAUAGAGCCAAUGAAAAAUCUGGAAUCUAAUGGUAGGUAGGAUGUUAUCUCAUCCGCUGAAUGUUAUACAAGUAGCUGCUGUAUCUUCGUUAUUUUCUAUACUUUCACUUGUCGUGUGCAUUUUCCAAUUUGUCGUCUUCUAUAAACGCGUAAAAUUCAGCCAUACGCGGCGGUUAUUGAACGAGAAG